AUUUAAUUUACCAAAAUGCACAUGGCCGAUUAAACUGGAUUCAUUUUGUUCAUACUCAAACAAAUUCCUAGUGUGAAACUACCUUUCCGAGGAAGUAAUUCCUUAGUCAAGUGUUGCUCCUGCGGUUUCCUCGGAGCUGCAACACUGAACCCCGAGCCUGAUUAUAGACUCAAGAAAAAACAGUUAGGCAUUUAUCCAAGUCACUGAUUAUGUCAUUUCAACAGGCUGCAAACACUCAGACAGGCUAGACAGCUCUGAGGGGAGAAUUAUGAAGCCGGAGUGGAAUGGAGGCUGUAUGAAAAGGAAAUGAAAAUGGAGUACUGCUGUAUGUGUGAUUAAACUGCCUGCUCGCCAGCAAAAGGCCACGCUGGUGUAACACAGGCCUGAGAUUUGGCCAUAAUGAAAAUGUGAAGGUGGUGGGGUUUGAACCCCCCGAAUGACGUGGGUGAGCACAUACACACGCACAUAGACACUUGCACACGAACACACACCAUUACACAUAGCCUACAUUAUAGAGUAUGUAUGUGCCCGGGCUGAAUGGUUUAUACGAGGGGCUAUUGAGAGAGAC